UUGUGCAGUUCACUCAACUAGUCCGUGAGACGGAGAGCCUCGAUGCUGAAGUGUCCCGCCUGCACAACCAGAUCCGCAGCCACUACCUGCCUCCGGUCUCCAUCAGUUCCACUGUGGACACCUCUUUGUAAUUUGAUGACGUCAAUGAACAUUAAACCAAAAUGAAAAGGAGGAGAAAUCUCUACGUGGCCACUGUGUGUGUGCUAGUGUUCCUAUACUACUUCUGUGGUGUUAGCGACUAUGUGUUCUCGAGGGAUUUUGACAGUGAAUUUGACUACCCACUCAACACGGACAUCCGACCCAUUGUUGUCGACAUAUUUAACGGUAACAAACCUAGUAUAACUCCUAUAAAUAUUUACCCAUACAGAUUCCUCAGUAACUCUGUCAAAUGUAACGCUGUAGAGAAACUUGACUUGUUCAUAUUAGUAAAAUCUGCUAUGAAUCAUUUCCAACACAGAAAAGCUAUAAGGCAGACUUAUGGCCAAGAGAACUAUCUACCAGGACGCAUAGUCAAAAUACUCUUCUUUCUAGGAAUAAAUGACAUGAAAUCGCAAACGCAGAAGAUGAUAGAAAAAGAAAUAGACGAACAUAAGGACAUUAUACAGAUAGAUUUCAAUGAUAAUUAUUAUAACAAUACUAUUAAGACUAUGAUGUCUUUUCGCUGGGCGUAUGAACAUUGCUCUACGGCUGACUAUUAUCUAUUCACAGAUGAUGAUAUGUAUAUAUCAGUUAGCAAUCUUUUGAACUAUGUAUCAGAGCAACCUCCUACUGGGAGCACGACUUUUUAUGAAACAGAAAGAGAUAGACUGCUUUUCGCCGGUUACGUGUUCAAAUCGGCGCCACAGAGAUAUAUAACUAGUAAAUGGAGAGUAUCUAUAGACGAAUACCCUUGGAACCGGUGGCCGCCUUACGUAACAGCAGGCGCUUAUGUAUUGUCUAAUAAGGCUUUUAAAAUAAUGUACAUAGGUAGUUUAUAUGUAAAGCAUUUCAGAUUUGAUGAUAUAUAUUUGGGUAUAGUAGCGAAAAAGGUUGGAAUACAACCGACUCAUUGUCCACAUUUUUAUUUUUACAAGAAGAAAUAUAGUAAAGAGGAUUAUAGUGAAGUGAUAGCUUCCCAUGGAUUCAGUGAUCAUAGUGAGUUGGUUAGGGUGUGGAAUGAACAGAACAGGAUUAUUUGAUGGUGGUUUGAUUGUGAUAAGUGAUAAAGAUCGCCAGCCGUUUGAACGCCAGGUUAGGCAGCGUCCCCACUUAGACGUCCGUUGCGCGUCGCAAGACAUGCGUCUUAUGAGUGUGGAUGGUAGCUUAAACGCAAAAGAAGUGUUCGUAAGUCAUUCAAGUGUAUUCUAAACACUUGAUCAAAAUGUGUAGACUCUAAUAAAUCUCCGGACUUAUCUCAAACCUCGUUCUAUGUACUUUCCAUGUUCUAUGCUUUGUCGCCCGUGGCAACAUGUCGAACGUGGUUCGCGAUAUAUAUCUGCUAGCUUAUGGCGCACUACGUCAGAAACCGGUCGUUAUCUAUAACCCUCCGCUUGUAUGGCGAGAACCCGCCCCGCGGGUUGUCCGGCAUUUCAGCAAAGUUCACGAGUGCCUACGAGGCGGGUUCUUUGUUGCCAAGGUGUUAAGCUAUAGAUAUUGUUGUGUACUUGUUUGGGUUUGACAGAUGAUGUUGAACAGGUUAGUAUGAGGAUUGAUUGUAAUAGCCUGAUAGUGAUAGGAAUUAAUGGAAGCAGUACAGUUAGUUAUUAGACCUGUUUAUUUAUUUAAUCGUAUGGCGAUAUGUACAAAAUAAAAGAUUAUAAGGCAACAUUUGGCAUUUGGCGUCAAGUUACUGUUAAGCCUUGAUAAGGCAGAGGAAAUAAUUUCUCACAUGAUUUUUUUUUGUUUCAGAGAGAUUGUUUUAGGGUUCAAUUAAAUUUUGCAUAUUUUGAUACAAAGUGUAUACACUUGUAUGUACUUGUUUCAUGUUACUUUGAUACAUAUCAGUUAAUU